rnacentral:rRNA from 1 species
GUGAACGCUGGCGGUAGGCCUAACACAUGCAAGUCGAACGGCAGCACAGUAAGAGCUUGCUCUUACGGGUGGCGAGUGGCGGACGGGUGAGGAAUACAUCGGAAUCUACUUUUUCGUGGGGGAUAACGUAGGGAAACUUACGCUAAUACCGCAUACGACCUACGGGUGAAAGCAGGGGAUCUUCGGACCUUGCGCGAUUGAAUGAGCCGAUGUCGGAUUAGCUAGUUGGCGGGGUAAAGGCCCACCAAGGCGACGAUCCGUAGCUGGUCUGAGAGGAUGAUCAGCCACACUGGAACUGAGACACGGUCCAGACUCCUACGGGAGGCAGCAGUGGGGAAUAUUGGACAAUGGGCGCAAGCCUGAUCCAGCCAUACCGCGUGGGUGAAGAAGGCCUUCGGGUUGUAAAGCCCUUUUGUUGGGAAAGAAAAGCAGCAGGUUAAUACCCCGCUGUUCUGACGGUACCCAAAGAACAAGCACCGGCUAACUUCGUG